GGGGGCAUAGCUCAGUGGUAGAGCAUUCAACUCCAGAUCGAGAGGUCGCCGGUUCAAAUCUGGGUGUUCCCU